rnacentral:rRNA from 1 species
UAGUGGCGAACGGGUGAGUAACACGUGGGCAAUCUGCCCUGCACUCUGGGACAAGCCCUGGAAACGGGGUCUAAUACCGGAUACGAGCCGGGGAGGCAUCUCCCCGGUUGGAAAGCUCCGGCGGUGCAGGAUGAGCCCGCGGCCUAUCAGCUUGUUGGUGAGGUAACGGCUCACCAAGGCGACGACGGGUAGCCGGCCUGAGAGGGCGACCGGCCACACUGGGACUGAGACACGGCCCAGACUCCUACGGGAGGCAGCAGUGGGGAAUAUUGCACAAUGGGCGAAAGCCUGAUGCAGCGACGCCGCGUGAGGGAUGACGGCCUUCGGGUUGUAAACCUCUUUCAGCAGGGAAGAAGCGAGAGUGACGGUACCUGCAGAAGAAGCGCCGGCUAACUACGUGCCAGCAGCCGCGGUAAUACGUAGGGCGCGAGCGUUGUCCGGAAUUAUUGGGCGUAAAGAGCUCGUAGGCGGNUUGUCACGUCGGUUGUGAAAGCCCGGGGCUUAACCCCGGNUCUGCAGUCGAUACGGGCAGGCUAGAGUUCGGUAGGGGAGAUCGGAAUUCCU